CCUACGAGGGGCUGCAGUGGGGAAUAUUGCGCAAUGGGCGAAAGCCUGACGCAGCGACGCCGCGUGAGGGAUGAAGGUCUUCGGAUCGUAAACCUCGGUCAGCAGGGAAGAACGGUCACGGUGCUAAGCAGCAGUGAAUUGACGGUACCUGCAAAGGAAGCACCGGCUAACUCCGUGCCAGCAGCCGCGGUAAUACGGAGGGUGCGAGCGUUAAUCGGAAUUACGGGGCGUAAAGCGCUCGUAGGCGGUAUGUCCAGUCAAGGGUGAAAUCCCCGCGCUCAACGUGGGAACUGCCUUUGAAACUGGCAACCUGGAGUGUGUGAGAGGCUAGUGGACUUCCAGGUGUAGG
rnacentral:rRNA from 1 species